CCAAGGAGUCUAACAUGUGCGCGAGUCGUCGAGUCUGUUACGAAACUCGCGAGGCGCAAUGAAAGUGAAGCGGCCCCGAUGAGGGUGCAUCCGCGAGGGGUGAUCCCGUCUCGAACAGAGCGGGCGCAACCCCGGGGCGUCCGAAGCCGCGAGGUUCCUCGGAGCCGAGUCGGCCGGACGAACCCAGAGCGCACACGUUAGGACCCGAAAGAUGGUGAACUACGGUUGAAUAGGGCGAAGCCAGGGGAAACUCUGGUGGAGGCUCGAAGCGGUACUGACGUGCAAAUCGUUCGUUAAAUUUGACUGUAGGGGCGAAAGACUAAUCGAACCAUCUAGUAGCUGGUUCCCCCGAAGUUUCCCUCAGGAUAGCUGGUGCUCGCAAAGAGAACGAACGGAGUUUCAUCCGGUAAAGCGAAUGAUUAGAGGCCUUGGGGUCGAAACGACCUCAACCUAUUCUCAAACUUUCAAUGGGUGAGAAGCCCGGCCUAAAAAAUCUCUUGAUUGAGGCCGUCUGGCACAAGACAAACAAUCUGAAUCUGAGCACCCAGUGGGCCAUUUUUGGUAAGCAGAACUGGCGCUGUGGGAUGAACCAAACGCCCGGUUAAGGCGCCUAAACGACGCACAUUUCGGAUCCCACGAAAAGGAGUUGGUUGCUAAAGACAGCAGGACGGUGGCCAUGGAGGUCGGAAUCCGCUCAGGAGUGUGUAACAACUCACCUGCCGAAGCAACUAGCCCUUAAAAUGGGAGGCGCUAUAGCGUCGUGCCUAUACCGGGCCGUCGGUCGGCAGAGCGAAUAACGUCGGCCAGCUCGAAGAGAGCGGCGGCGCUGAGGCCCCGACGAGUAGGGGGGUCGCGACGGUGAGCGUUGAAGGGUUGUGGGCGCGAGCCUGCCCGGAGCCGCCGUCGGUGCAGAUCUUGGUGGUAGUAGCAAAUACUCCAGA
rnacentral:rRNA from 1 species